GUCUGAGCCUGUCUCCACCGACGCGGUAACGAGGUGCACGUCAAGCAAAGAGCUUACCUUCCCGCGACCUAUCACGAAAACCGACCACCCACGGUUUCUCCGAAGCACGAUCACGUUACCUUAUAGAAUUUUCGUCGUCGACGAUUCUUCAGAUAAUCUGCGUCCCGGAUGCCAGCGUUAAUUAGAGAUAAUUAUCAUACCAUGGUUGAUCAACCGUUUUCACGUAAUUGCCGUCAUACAAAAAUUCUGUUUCCUAUGGUAAAUCAAAGAUGGCACUGCGGCUAGUAAUUGAAUCGAUAUCGAUACACAUCGAUGUAAACGAUUCGAUUUACCCUCGUAAUGCAAUCUAACCUAAUCGAUUUAGUAAAAAGGUUAACAAAGCUAAAUAUAUCUACAUAAUAAAAUUACGCAUUGCAUUCUAACUUGAUUACUUUCAACAUUAUAUAUAUCGUUGAUCGAUAAUCGAUAAUAGCAUGAUAGUACAAUAGAAAUAGAUAAAAGUCAUACAUAUGAAUAACUGGAUAUGAUUAAAACACGGUUAAGUAAAUAUUGAUCAGUGUGCUUCAUUAUUCGAUUAGGGAUUUGCCGUGUAUUCAACUAUAGAGGAACAGUGUAUGAAACGAUCUAUAAGCACGUUUUACCGCAGUUUGUCCACAACCCUUUGAUUUUUCCGCGUGGUUCGGACGGCGCCGUAUAAUCAACCAUAGGACACUUAUCAAACGCAGGGAAUGUUAUCAGUACAGAGAAAGAUGAAUCAAGGUGCCUGCACCCAUGUACGUACAAACGCACAUACCUACGAUCCGUCAACGUGUGUCACGUACAUUAACACGGAUUGCUGCGUUUUCACGUUGCCGAGCAAUGCGUGGUCUACAUCGCGAGUGCGUAAGUGUACGGGCUACGGGAAAGGAAAGAGGAAGAACAAGAGGGAAGAAGCAAAGAGAAAAAGGAAGAAAGACGAAGAAAGAAGGGAGAGAACGAAGGGAGAAGAGAACUCGGAUGUGCUGUGGAGCAGAGUCGUGUGAGGUGAGGGCGCACCUGGACCUUCUUCUCCAUAGGCGUACAAGGGCUCUCACUGCCUUCCACUCCACGAUUCAACCACCCAACGGACUGCCUCCAGUUACGUGUACCAAAGUUUCUUCUUUCUCUGUUUUCGACCCUUUCUUUUUCUCUCUCAUUCGCCCGUCUCUCUUUCUCUUUUUUUUAGCCACGUAGAUCGCACGAGAGCGUGCGUACCAUUGGAAUCCACGCCCGCCGACACAAAUGCGGUUUACAGCGGCUUUGCCAGAGCAGCGUGAUGCUUGGUAUUUUGUAAAAAAGACAAAUUUUACUAUUCCGGUAUCACGCAAAAAGAACAGAGAAACGUAAUACUAGGAUUAUAAAUGAAAAAAAGCGAUGGAACAUCGUGUGACGGUUUGAAGGAUCAUACAGUGGAAUUUGGAGAUUGCAGGAAAUUCUAAUGAAACGUUAAAUGCAUUAAAAACUGAUAGCGAAACUUAUAAGAACUGCACACGAGCGCUGUCUGACCAAAUUCAGUUGGUCGGAAAUGGUCGAGGCGCGUACCCGUAUGGAAUCCAGAGUGAACGCAUUACACGCAAGCGACGACUCGUACUCGAUGAAGAUGUAAGGGCCGCAUUGUGUCCUGUACCGUCGAGAGAACUCGAGAAUAAAGAGAGAGAGAGACAGAGAGAGAAGACGAGAGAGAAAGUAUUCACGUAUAUACUGAGCGGGACCGCAACUACUAACGUGGGGUAGAUCUCAGCGCGGAUAGUGCUUUAUUUCAUCAAAGGGACAACAAGGAAGCCGAGAUAACGCCGCAUGCUUCACAGAAAGGAGCACUUCGGAUAGAGGAGUAUGCACGGCACGCACGACGCGCUCGAUGAUCCAUAAUCGUGUGUAGUCGCAAUAACCACGCUCCAGUUGCAUCCUUCGUAAAAUUCUUCAAACAGUAAUCUUCAACGAAAAAUACCGCACAAUAACUUCCUCUUUUAAGACGAUGACAAUAAAUCUUAGAGUCACCGCAUAAAACUGAUAAAUAUAACAAAUAUGAUAAACGAAAAUGGUACAUCUUUUCUAAACGGUCUAAGAAACAAUUAUGUCACCAGUAUUAAUUAAUUAAUGCCAUUGCAUCGAAGGUUUAUAGAAUUUCGCUCGAGUAUGAAAGUUAGAACAGCAGAUGAACACGUAAUGGGAGCACAGAAACAAUAUGGGAAGCUGUACCAAUGGAACGAAAGGGUUGUUUACUGUUACCCAUGCGGGCUAUCGGAAGUAUCGGCUUGUGUCGCUGGAAUAAAGGCCGGAUAAUUUUAUGCGGGCAAUGCGAAUUAAAUAAGCCAUAUAAUACCUCUACUUGAUCGUGUAUCAUUAAAGAGGGUGACGAUAGAGGAGCCAAAGAGAGGAGAGGGAAGAAAAAGAGAGGAAAGGAGAGAGAGAACAAGAGCGUUGCUCGCUAUUGUUUUCUCGAGUGGUACUCACUGGUUCAAUGCUCGCCUGCUCUGGUAGACCGGUACCAGAUGUACCCGGACCGCCUGGUUUCAACUGUGAUACCAUGCCACGCCAUUCCUGAUGACUACGGUUCCCAGCUUACCAAACAUUUUUGCCAUUCUUCUAACCAGCAGCAACGCGUUAUUCAUUUACGCUAUUAGCUAAGUUCAGCUGUUUGCAUGGAUCAAGUCAAAGGUACUCGAGGAGAAGGACUAAGAAAAAUUACAGUCGCAGAUUUCUUACAACUAAUCUGAAAAUAACGGGUUGCUGACCUAAUUUAGCUUGACCUUAACACUGCAGCAAAGAAUGGAAUAAAAUAUUGGGACUAGGUUUUAUAACGAACUUACCUUCCAAUUGUUUUUAAUGGAUAGAUAGGAAAAUUCAGCUAACACGAUUUUGCGACCAACUAAAUUAUAUAUUUUUUUUUUGUUUUUAGUGCAUACAUUAAGAAAAUGUUCGCAUGUGAUGCGAAUAAGCUGUGAAUACAAUGAAAAUCAUAUAUGUGUUUCGCCUUUGGUUGAUUGUGCACUGACGAUAUGUACGAAUAAGUUUAAGAAACAAGGCGUUGACGCGAAAGAAUCGAUCGGUAACAAAUAAAAUUUUGAUAAAGGAAUGUCUAUUGCUGUGUAGUGAAUCUUUGCUUAUCACGUCGAUUGUAGAACUAGCCAUAUCUAAGAAUAUUAAGAAUCAAUUUUUUAAAUCUAAUGCUUCAAUAUCUUUGCAAAUUGAAGUUUGCAAAUUUCUUUUUAACAAUUCCGUUAAAUUCGUAACACAACAGUCAACGUGUUAACACUUUGCCCACGUUAAAUUCGACGAAACUCCUAAAGAAUCGUAACUUUAUUUGAAGCUUCGAGAGAUUCAUUGAAGUGCAAAUUUGUACGUCACCAAAAUAAGCGGCGAUCAGCGCGUUUACAAUUCUGUCUCUUUAGCAAAGCGUCAAUUGUUGCACCGGCGAUAGGAAUGAUGAAAUUUGAAGGGAAAGAACGGCAAUUGAUGUUGUUUAAAAGAAUACUCUGUAUUACAACUGGCGAAUAGCAUCCACGACGACAUUGUAACUCAGAAUACCGAUCAAUUGUUGUACCAACACCGAAUGAAAAAUACGCUUCAUCAAGUUAUACGAUUAAAAAAAAAAA
rnacentral:lncRNA from 1 species